rnacentral:rRNA from 1 species
UGGGGAAUUUGGGACAAUGGGGGAAACCCUGAUCCAGCCAUCCCGCGUGUGCUAUGAAGGCCUUCGGGUUGUAAAGCACUUUUGGCAGGAAAGAAUCGUCAUGGGUUAAUACCCCGUGAAACUGACGGUACCUGCAGAAUAAGCACCGGCUAACUACGUGCCAGCAGCCGCGGUAAUACGUAGGGUGCAAGCGUUAAUCGGAAUUACUGGGCGUAAAGCGUGCGCAGGCGGUUCGGAAAGAAAGAUGUGAAAUCCCAGAGCUCAACUUUGGAACUGCAUUUUUAACUACCGGGCUAGGGUGUGUCAGAGGGGGGUGGAAUUCCGCUUGUAGCAGUGAAAUGCGUAGAUAUGCGGAGGAACACCGAUGGCGAAGGCAGCCUCCUGGGAUAACACUGACGCUCAUGCACGAAAGCGUGGGGAGCAAACAGG